rnacentral:tRNA from 1 species
GGCUUCAUAGAUCAGUAGUUAGAGCCCUGGUUUUGUAAACCAGGGGUUGUGAGUUCAGUCCUCACUGAUGUGU